AGAGUUUGAUCCUGGCUCAGGAUGAACGCUGGCGGUAUGCUUAACACGUGCAAGUCGGACGGGAAGUGGUGUUUCCAGUGGCAGACGGGUGAGUAACGCGUAAGAACCUGCCCUUGGGAGGGGAACAAUAGCUGGAAAUGACUGCUAAUACCCCAUAGGCUGAGGAGAAAAAGGGGGAAUCUGCCCAAGGAGGGGCUCGCGUCUGAUUAGUUAGUUGGUGAGGCAAUGGCUUACCAAGGCGACGAUCAGUAGCUGGUCUGAGAGGAUGAUCAACCACGCUGGGACUGAGACAUGGCCCAGACUCCUACGGGAGGAAGCAGUGGGGAAUUUUCUGCAAUGGGCGACAGCCUGAUGGAGCAAUGCCGCGUGAAGGCAAAAGGCCCACGAGUCAUGAACUUCUUUUCUCGGAGAAGAAAAAUGACGGUCUCUGAGGAAUAAGCAUCAGCUAGAUCUGUGCCAGCAGCCGCGGUAAU
rnacentral:rRNA from 1 species